AUAAACCAAGUUGGGAUUAUAAAGUUCUAUCUCCAGUAGAUUCAAUAUCCAAUCAAAACCCUGAAUGAACAGACGGACCAAUCAAAUCUUAGCUCUGUAGCCUGGACACAGAGCUAAGGGCUGGACAUUAGCCUGCCCUGGACAUCUGAAGCCGGCGAUGGCGACCAAAAGACUUAAAUGUACAGACCCCACUAGAAGAGAUCGAAAUGAUGAUGGUGGUGGAAGUCCUCCAAAGGGAGUGGGAGCGGCAAAUAGGACGGUAUCUAGUGGUGGGUACUUCUAUAGAUGGGUGGAAUUUCUGUUGUAUUUACCAUGCCUUUGUUUGUAAAAUACCCAAACUAUUAUCAGUGUCAUAAAACAAAAUAAUAAACUGACACAUUAUUAUAAUAUUGGAUCAUGUAAUAAUAAAGAAUCUUUAGCUUAUCUUGGCUACUGCUGGGGUUAUGUUUUUGCAGGUUUGAUGGGCAGUGAUGCUCGAGUUGCACAGAUGUUUUCAGACACUACUAUGUAGGCAAACAUGCCACUGUCGGUGUGUACACUAAGAAGUACUUAAUCAAUAGGCCUAUUUGACUGUUUAUCCUGUUCAGUCUUUGUAAGGAAAAUGAUGGUAGUAGUCCUGGACAGUGCCUCAGUGGGUCCAGUACCAGUUAAGCCAUGCAGAUUGUCCUGGUAUAGAUGAUAGUAUUCUGCAAAAUGUAUGUCUCCCCAUUAGUUACUUUCCUGUAAAUGCUAGUGUGAUGCUCAGCUGUAUGACUUGCCAGGAGAGGCAGAGACUCCCAGAGCAGCAGCGAGAGGGACAGUAGCAGAGACACCCAGAGCCAGGGCAGCAGAGACGGAUGCAUAACAAAACAGACUAAUAAUAAAGUGGCAUAGUUUAAUGAAAUAAAUGACCAGUUUUUAAAAUGUUUCCGAGAGGGGGUGGGGGUUUUGUUCAGCUGUAAUUUUAAAUUUCCAUGUACUUUGAACUUUGAAAACAUUAAAAUAUAUUUUUUUCUUAA